UCAAACUUGGUCAUUUAGAGGAAGUAAAAGUCGUAACAAGGUUUCCGUAGGUGAACCUGCGGAAGGAUCAUUAACAGGAUGCGGUGCCCUCGUGGCCCGACCCUCCUACCACUGUGUACCAAACUUUUCGUUGCCUCGGCGGGCCGGCGUAGGCCCCGGUCGACGCCCCAAGCACCCCCCUUCUGGGAGGGUGCGGGGAGCAGCCCGCCGCAGGACAAUUCAAAACCUUUUGUUAGAUGAACGUCUGAUUUUACCUUCGCGAAUGCGAUAAAUACAACUUUCAACAAUGGAUCUCUUGGCUCCGGCAUCGAUGAAGAACGCAGC
rnacentral:misc_RNA from 1 species